rnacentral:misc_RNA from 1 species
GUUGUUUUUGGUGUGCACUGACCACAAUGUAGUUUUGCCUAUAUCCCAUGGAUUUUUUUUUGACCCUUAAGAAGUAAAUAAUAUUUCAAUGAAUGGAUUGUGACUUUUACUAUAUUUCAGUCUUGGAAAAGUUGCGUAUGUAUUAUUGCAAAGCAAGGCAUUUGCACAGAGUGAAAUUUCUGUUUCUGGCUGUCCUUUAUUUUCCUUCCAUCUCCUCUGUUUUGCCUUGUAUUCUUUUGCCAUCUUUGUAUGAUUUGUUCUUCUGUGUGGUUGCAUGUGAAACAUUUAUUCUCAUAAUUAUUAGUGCAUUUACAUGAAUGUAGUUAUCACAUUACCCUAUUGGACAAGUUUUGUCUUCAGAUCCUUUGUUUCCAUGUCAGCAUCAGGAUAUGGUGUUGCAAGUGAAAAACGCCAUCUGACUUAUUUCUUUGUUGUCAGAGAGUUUGGCCAAGUUCCCUCGGAGGACA